CCCAACUGAUUGACGGUGCUUGCACCUGAUUGACGUUGGAUUACCAACGAGUGGCGGACGGGUGAGUAACACGUAGGCAACCUGCCCAGAAGCGGGGGACAACAUUUGGAAACAAGUGCUAAUACCGCAUAAAUCCUCAAACCGCAUGGUUUGAGGCUGAAAGAUGGUUUCGGCUAUCACUUCUGGAUGGGCCUGCGGCGCAUUAGCUUGUUGGUGGGGUAACGGCCUACCAAGGCUAUGAUGCGUAGCCAAGUUGAGAGACUGAUCGGCCACAAUGGAACUGAGACACGGUCCAUACUCCUAUGGGAGGCAGCAGUAGGGAAUCUUCCACAAUGGACGCAAGUCUGAUGGAGCAACGCCGCGUGAGUGAAGAAGGUUUUCGGAUCGUAAAGCUCUGUUGUUGGUGAAGAAGGAUAGAGGUAGUAACUGGCCUUUAUUUGACGGUAAUCAACCAGAAAGUCACGGCUAACUACGUGCCAGCAGCCGCGGUAAUACGUAGGUGGCAAGCGUUGUCCGGAUUUAUUGGGCAUAAAGCGAGCGCAGGCGGAAAAAUAAGUCUAAUGUGAAAGCCCUCGGCUUAACCGAGGAACUGCAUCGGAAACUGUUUUUCUUGAGUGCAGAAGAGGAGAGUGGAACUCCAUGUGUAGCGGUGGAAUGCGUAGAUAUAUGGAAGAACACCAGUGGCGAAGGCGGCUCUCUGGUCUGCAACUGACGCUGAGGCUCGAAAGCAUGGGUAGCGAACAGGAUUAGAUACCCUGGUAGUCCAUGCCGUAAACGAUGAGUGCUAAGUGUUGGGAGGUUUCCGCCUCUCAGUGCUGC
rnacentral:rRNA from 1 species